AAAGAUCGCAGCCUUCGGCAGCUCCUACAGGGGAUUUACCUUCCAAAUGUAGGAGCUGCCGAAGGCUGCGAUCUUU
rnacentral:antisense_RNA from 1 species